UCUGCGUGCUUCUUCAUGCCAAAGAGACUGUACAACUUUACUGGUCAUGGUGACUCUGAUCCUGCAAUCAAUUCACAAUUUCUGCCACAGCUUAAAGCUCAAUGCCCUCUCAAUGGAGAUGUAAAUGUUCGACUACCUCUUGACUUGUCCUCUCAAUUCACAUUUGACGAUCAUAUCUUCCACAACAUCAGAAAUGGGUUUGCUGUGCUAGCAUCUGAUGCUAGGCUUUAUGAUGACAAGAACACUAGGCAGGUACUCGAUUCCUACGUUGGCUUUACGAAUAGACGCCCGUCUUUUAAAGCUGAUUUUGCUGUAGCAAUGGUGAAGUUGGG
rnacentral:misc_RNA from 1 species